AAGAAUUGAGUACCACGGUAGUCCACUUCUACCUGAGGAGGCAAAUGCAUAUUAAGUUUCCAUGUCUCCUUGAGUUGUAAGCAAAAAAAAAUAUAGUAGUCAAGAUGGACUUUGAUCAAUUAUGAAUGGUAGAUACACAAUGGGUUUUGUUCACGAGGUGUGACCUUGAGAUAUAAGUGUUUACAUUUGGUAUGCAAGUUGAGA
rnacentral:lncRNA from 1 species